GGUUGGUGCAAAAGUAACUGCGGUUUUUGCCAUAACUUUUAAUGGCAAAAACCACAAGUACUUUUGCGCCAA
rnacentral:miRNA from 1 species